AGUGGCGGACGGGUGAGUAACACGUAGGUAAUCUGCCUUUAAGACUGGGACAACUGUUGGAAACGACAGCUAAUACUGGAUAAGAUUAGCAAACAGAAGUUAGUUAAUUGAAAGUUGUGCAUGCAACACUUAAAGAUGAGCCUGCGGUGCAUUAGCUAGUUGGUGAGGUAAAGGCUCACAAAGGCGACGAUGCAUAGCCGGACUGAGAGGUUGAACGGCCACACUGGGACUGAGACACGGCCCAGACUCCUACGGGAGGCAGCAGUAGGGAAUUUUUCGCAAUGGAGGAAACUCUGACGGAGCAAUACCGCGUGUGGGAAGAAGAUUUUCGGAUUGUAAACCACUGUUGUAAGGGAAGAACGUUAUUAGUAGGAAAUGGCUAAUAAAUGACGGUACCUUACCAGAAAGGGACGGCUAACUACGUGCCAGCAGCCGCGGUAAUACGUAGGUCCCGAGCGUUAUCCGGAAUUAUUGGGCGUAAAGGGCACGUAGGCGGACAAAUAAGUUUGAUGUCAAAUAUGAUGGCUCAACUAUCAAGAGGCGUUGAAAACUGUUUAU
rnacentral:rRNA from 1 species